rnacentral:miRNA from 1 species
AAGAGCCACUGAGUGGGGAGGAGAGAGGGACAGAGAGCCUGCUUCUUUAAAGGAGCAAAGCGGGAGGAGAGGAGCCGCUACACGAGUGUAGCGGCUCCUGCCGGUUGGUUCCUUUAAAGCAAGCAGGCUCUCUGUCCCUCUCUCCUCCCCACUCAGCUCG